rnacentral:rRNA from 1 species
CGGACUGUAGGCUGCAACUCGCCUACACGAAGCUGGAAUCGCUAGUAAUCGCGGAUCAGCACGCCGCGGUGAAUACGUUCCCGGGCCUUGUACACACCGCCCGUCACACCAUGAGAGUCUGUAACACCCAAAGCCGGUGGGAUAACCUUUAUAGGAGUCAGCCGUCUAAGGUAGGACAGAUGAUUAGGGUGAAGUCGUAACAAGGUAGC